rnacentral:rRNA from 1 species
GAUGAACGCUAGCUACAGGCUUAACACAUGCAAGUCGAGGGACCGGCGCACGGGUGAGUAACACGUAUACAACCUGCCCUUUACUCGGGGAUAGCCUUUCGAAAGAAAGAUUAAUACCCGAUGUAAAGGAUGGGGAUGCGUUCAAUUAGGUUGUUGGUGAGGUAACGGCUCACCAAGCCUUCGAUGGAUAGGGGUUCUGAGAGGAAGGUCCCCGACAAUGGAACUGAUGCACGGUCCAAAAUCCUACGAGAGGCAGCAGUGAGGAAUAUUGUUGAAUGGGCGUUAGCCUGAACCAGCCGAGUAGCGGGAAGGAGGAAGGCUUAUGGGUCGUAAACUUCUUUUAUAUAAGAAUAUGUAUUAUAUGAAUAAGGAUCGGCUAACUCCGUGCCAGCAGCCGCGGUAAUUC